GAUGAACGCUGGCGGUAUGCUUAACACAUGCAAGUCGAACGGACUCUUCGGAGUUAGUGGCGGACGGGUGAGUAACGCGUGAGAAUCUGGCUUUGGGUUCGGGACAACCACUGGAAACGGUGGCUAAUACCGGAUGUGCCGAGAGGUAAAAGAGAAAUUGCCUGAAGAUGAGCUCGCGUCUGAUUAGCUAGUUGGUGAGGUAAAGGCUCACCAAGGCAGCGAUCAGUAGCUGGUCUGAGAGGAUGACCAGCCACACUGGGACUGAGACACGGCCCAGACUCCUACGGGAGGCAGCAGUGGAGAAUUUUCCGCAAGGGGCGAAAGCCUGACGGAGCAAUACCGCGUGAGGGAAGAAGGCUCUUGGGUUGUAAACCUCUUUUCUUAGGGAAGAACAAAAUGACGGUACCUAAGGAAUCAGCAUCGGCUAACUCCGUG
rnacentral:rRNA from 1 species